UACGUAGGGUGCAAGCGUUAAUCGGAAUUACUGGGCGUAAAGCGCGCGCAGGCGGCUUUGCAAGACAGAUGUGAAAUCCCCGGGCUUAACCUGGGAACUGCAUUUGUGACUGCAUGGCUGGAGUGCGGCAGAGGGGGAUGGAAUUCCGCGUGUAGCAGUGAAAUGCGUAGAUAUGCGGAGGAACACCGAUGGCGAAGGCAAUCCCCUGGGCCUGCACUGACGCUCAUGCACGAAAGCGUGGGGAGCAUACAGG
rnacentral:rRNA from 1 species